rnacentral:rRNA from 1 species
AACGCGAAGAACCUUACCUACCCUUGACAUCCUCGGAAUCUGCUAGAGAUAGCGGAGUGCCUUCGGGAGCCGAGAGACAGGUGCUGCAUGGCUGUCGUCAGCUCGUGUUGUGAGAUGUUGGGUUAAGUCCCGUAACGAGCGCAACCCCUGUCCUUAGUUGCCAACACGUAAAGGUGGGAACUCUAAGGAGACUGCCGGUGACAAACCGGAGGAAGGUGGGGAUGACGUCAAGUCAUCAUGGCCUUUAUGGGUAGGGCCACACACGUGCUACAAUGGUCGGUACAAAGGGAAGCGAACACGCGAGUGGGAGCAAAUCUCAGAAAACCGAUCGUAGUCCGGAUUGGAGUCUGGAACUCGACUCCAUGAAGUUGGAAUCGCUAGUAAUCGCGGAUCAGAACGCCGCGGUGAAUACGUUCCCGGGCCUUGUA